rnacentral:lncRNA from 1 species
AGGGGAUGCUCGGGGAGGCGGGAGUCGGGCAGGAGUGGCUGGAGGAAGGGAGGAGCAGUUUUACAGCCGUAAUUCCACUCUUUGGUGAGGCUGGGACAGGCUUCAUUGUCUCUUGCAUUUUUCGGGGGUGCCUGAUGUUAAAAGUCCUGCCAGUGAAGGAUUGCUCUCUUUGGAGUGGAGCACAGAUCCUCCCAGGUAACCUGCCCUUCAGCAGCAGCUUCCCAAUGCUGUGCUCAGAUGGGCUUUGAUACUUGGAGGGCACAGGACUGUAAAACAGCCAACGUGGCUGUGUGACCUGCAGGAGUAAUCUGUUCUCAGCUGUGGUCAGUUAAAUCCAAAGUUGUGUUGUUUUGUUGGUUUUGGAUUUGUUUGUUUUCUUUUUUUUUUUUUUUUUUUUUUUUAAGGAAGGAAACCCACACAAAUCAAACCUUUUUAAUGGCCACUGGCUGUUUUGUCCUUAGUUUAAUUCUGCCUUUUGUCAGUUGAACUGCCACUGAGGCUGUUGGCUAAUUCAGCCUUUCAGGUUGCCCAUAUUUCUGAGCAGCUUCGCUCAGCAUGAAAAUGGGAAGUUUCCUAUUUCUUCUUUUUUGGUGACAAAAAUAGUUGGAGCUACAUACAAUUAUUUUAGCAAUCUAACUAACUAAUUAAGCCUUUUCUGGUCAGGAGAAGGCUUGUGGUUUUUAGAUUUCAAAUAAGCUUUUAUUAUUCUAAUAAUAAGGUUGACUUGAUAGAAAUCCUAUUUUGUAAAAAUAACUGGUAGAUUUUGCUAGAGGGAGAAAAUGAUAAUUUUAUUUGGAAUUACCCAUUUUUCCAAAUAGUACUUUGAUACCCCAGAAAACUAAAAUCUAUUAUAUAAAAUUAACAUAUGUAUACAUGACACGUAAUACUUAACUAUUUAUUGAGAAGCAAUGCUUCAUCCAAAAC